UGAGUGCGAGCGGCUACGGCCGCGAAGUGGGUGAUGUCAAGCUUCCAAGAAAAGCCCUAUACCCGUUAAGGCAUGAUGGCCUGUACCCGAAACCGACACAGGUGGGGUGGUAGAGAAUACCGAGGGGCGCGAGGUAACUCUCUCUAAGGAACUCGGCAAAAUGGCCCCGUAACUUCGGGAGAAGGGGUGCCACCGCAAGGUGGUCGCAGUGAAGAGGCCCAGGCGACUGUUUACCAAAAACACAGGCCUCCGCUAAGUCGCAAGACGAUGUAUGGGGGCUGACGCCUGCCCAGUGCCGGAAGGUUAAGGAAGCUGGUCAGCGCAAGCGAAGCUAGCGACUGAAGUCCCGGUGAACGGCGGCCGUAACGAUAACGGUCCUAAGGUAGCGAAAUUCCUUGUCGGGUAAGUUCCGACCCGCACGAAAGGCGUAACGAUCUGGGCGCUGUCUCGGAGAGAGGCUCGGCGAAAUAGAAUUGUCUGUGAAGAUGCGGACUACGUGCACCCGGACAGAAAGACCCUAUGAAGCUUUACUGUAGCUUGGUAUUGUGCCCGGGCUCUGAAUGCGCAGGAUAGGUGGGAGGCUUUGAUCCAUGGCUUGCGGGUCAUGGUGAGCCAACGGUGAGAUACCACUCUUUCAGAGCUAGGGUUCUAACGGUCACCCGUCAUCCGGGGACCGGACAGUAUCAGGUGGGCAGUUUGACUGGGGCGGUCGCCUCCUAAAAGGUAACGGAGGCGCGCAAAGGUUUGCUCAGGCUGGUUGGAAAUCAGCCGACGAGUGCAAAAGCAGAAGCAAGCUUGACUGUGAGACCUACAAGUCGAACAGGGACGAAAGUCGGCUUUAGUGAUCCGACGGUUCUGAGUGGAAGGGCCGUCGCUCAACGGAUAAAAGUUACUCUAGGAUAACAGGCUGAUCUCCCCCAAGAGUUCACAUCGACGGGGAGGUUUGGCACCUCGAUGUCGGCUCAUCGCAACCUGGGGCUGAAGUCGGUCCCAAGGGUUGGGCUGUUCGCCCAUUAAAGCGGUACGCGAGCUGGGUUCAGAACGUCGUGAGACAGUUCGGUCCAUAUCCGGUGCACGCGCAGGAACAUUGAGAGGAUUUCUCCCUAGUACGAGAGGACCGGGAGGAACGCACCUCUGGUGUGCCAGUUAUCGUGCCAACGGUAAACGCUGGGUAGCCAUGUGCGGAGUGGAUAACCGCUGAAAGCAUCUAAGUGGGAAGCCCACCUCAAGAUGAGUGUUCCCAUGGCAUAAGCCAGUAAGGUCACGGGAAGAACACCCGUUGAUAGGCUCUACGUGGAAGCCGGGUAACCGGUGAAGCGGAGGAGUACUAAUAGACCGAGGGCUUGACC
rnacentral:rRNA from 1 species